rnacentral:rRNA from 1 species
GAUGAACGCUGGCGGCGUGCCUAAUACAUGCAAGUCGAGCGAACAGACGAGGAGCUUGCUCCUCUGACGUUAGCGGCGGACGGGUGAGUAACACGUGGAUAACCUACCUAUAAGACUGGGAUAACUUCGGGAAACCGGAGCUAAAACCGGAUAAUAUAUUGAACCGCAUGGUUCGAUAGUGAAAGACGGUUUUGCUGUCACUUAUAGAUGGAUCCGCGCCGCAUUAGCUAGUUGGUAAGGUAACGGCUUACCAAGGCAACGAUGCGUAGCCGACCUGAGAGGGUGAUCGGCCACACUGGAACUGAGACACGGUCCAGACUCCUACGGGAGGCAGCAGUAGGGAAUCUUCCGCAAUGGGCGAAAGCUUGACGGAGCAACGCCGCGUGAGUGAUGAAGGUCUUCGGAUCGUAAAACUCUGUUAUUAGGGAAGAACAAAUGUGUAAGUAACUAUGCACGUCUUGACGGUACCUAAUCAGAAAGCCACGGCUAACUACGUG